CUGUCAUAUACCGAGGCUGCCGAUCGAGCGAGCUUGCUCGUGAAGUGGUUGAACGAGGUUCCAGGAAAAGCCACUAAGCUUCAGCUGCACACGACCGUACCGCAAACCGACACUGGUGCGCGAGAUGAGUAUUCUAAGGCGCUUGAGAGAACUCGGGAGAAGGAACUCGGCAAAUUGACACCGUAACUUCGGAAGAAGGUGUGCCCUAGUAGUGUGGAGUGAACAACGGAGCAUGAAUGGGUUGCAAAAAAUCGGUGGCUGCGACUGUUUAUUAAAAACACAGCACUCUGCAAACACGAAAGUGGACGUAUAGGGUGUGACGCCUGCCCGGUGCUGGAAGAUUAAAUGAUGGGGUGCAAGCUCUUGAUUGAAGUCCCAGUAAACGGCGGCCGUAACGAUAACGGUCCUAAGGUAGCGAAAUUCCUUGUCGGGUAAGUUCCGACCUGCACGAAUGGCGUAACGAUGGCCACACUGUCUCCUCCCGAGACUCAGCGAAGUUGAAAUGUUUGUGAUGAUGCAAUCUCCCCGCGGAAAGACGGAAAGACCCCAUGAACCUUUACUGUAGCUUUGUAUUGGACUUUGAACAGAUCUGUGUAGGAUAGGUGGGAGGCUUUGAAGCAGGGUCGCUAGAUCUUGUGGAGCCAACGUUGAAAUACCACCCUGGUGUGUUUGAGGUUCCAACCUAGGUCCAUUAUCUGGAUCGGGGACAGUGCAUGGUAGGCAGUUUGACUGGGGCGGUCUCCUCCCAAAGCGUAACGGAGGAGUUCGAAGGUACGCUAGUUACGGUCGGACAUCGUGACGAUAGUGCAAUGGCAUAAGCGUGCUUAACUGCGAGACUGACAAGUCGAGCAGAUGCGAAAGCAGGACAUAGUGAUCCGGUGGUUCUGUAUGGAAGGGCCAUCGCUCAACGGAUAAAAGGUACUCUGGGGAUAACAGGCUGAUACCGCCCAAGAGUUCAUAUCGACGGCGGUGUUUGGCACCUCGAUGUCGGCUCAUCUCAUCCUGGGGCUGUAGCCGGUCCCAAGGGUAUGGCUGUUCGCCAUUUAAAGAGGUACGUGAGCUGGGUUUAAAACGUCGUGAGAUAGUUUGGUCCCUAUCUUCCGUGGGCGCUGCAGAUUUGAGGAAGCCUGCUCCUAGUACGAGAGGACCGGAGUGGACGCACCUCUGGUGUAUCGGUUGUCACGCCAGUGGCAUUGCCGAGUAGCUAUGUGCGGAAGAGAUAACCGCUGAAAGCAUCUAAGCGGGAAACUCGUUCCAAGAUGAGAUCUGCCGGGGCCUUGAGCCCCCUGAAGAGUCGUUCUAGACCAGGACGUUGAUAGGCGAGGUGUGGAAGCGCAGCAAUGCGUUAAGCUAACUCGUACUAAUUGCUCGUGCGGCUUGACCCC
rnacentral:rRNA from 1 species